rnacentral:lncRNA from 1 species
GGAGGACAACACUUUCCACUGUCACAUAUGUAUACUCAACAACUUGAGAAUUGGGCAAGUCAGAGAGAACUUACUUAAAAUGCCCCCAGAAUGGAUGGAAGCAGUGUGUCUACAUGCCUGGCAUGCCCACUGACAUAGGUGUCCAUGAUCUGGGAAUGAACCACAAUGUCAGGAUUGCUGGGCCAUUCAGCUCCUCCAUCUUCUCCACACCUGCCUGACUUGAGUCACAGCUGACCCUAGCAUGAACAUAGGAAUAUUUGAUGAAUCUCAUGCAUACUUCAUGGAAACUGGUUUUGGUGCAAAAGGUAGCUUCCAAAAUACAAUUCUGGGUUGACUACCCCCAGAUGCAGGAGAUCUCUCAGAAACAAAAUAAAAUCAAGCUUGUUACUUUAUAACUUGUAUUUACUGAUUGAUUCAUCUUCUCAUUCUUUUUAUUGGGUUAUCAAAUAUAUUUUGAGGGCUUCCUAUGUGCUAGGCACUAUGUAAGAUACUGGAAAUAAAGAUGAACAAGACACAGUCCCUGGUCUUGUUGGGCUCACAGCCCAUUGGAGAAUAUGGACAAGUAAACAAAGAAGCAUGAAGAAGAGUGACAAGGCACCCAGAAUGUCCCCCCCUCAGGAGGGGGAAUCAAUGGCUGCACUUGGGAAUACUGAGGGGUUGAAUUCUCACCUAGAACACUGGAGGAGGUUGCUUCUUUCAUGUUUGUCCUGAGGAGAGAUGAAGAAUAAGUCCCUUUCUUUCACAACAUGAGAAAGAAAUGUACAACUGUGGAAAAUUUUCAUCUUGGAGGCAAGUAGUGCUGGGAAGCUAAAGAAAACCAAAGAUCCCUGCUGCCAUCCUCUUACCUUCCCAUCAAUAGGACACAGUGGAUGAGCAAGUAUGAGGCAUACAGACCUGUAGGAACUUGAACUUGGCCGUCAGAAAUAUUUAUCCAGACAUGAAAUGCCUUGGUGUGGCCCUCUAGGAACACAUAUUCGGCUGGUCUCACCGAUUUGCAAGAUUCAGAAGGAGUCAUGGGGACAGGGUAAGGAGCUUACUUCUGGGUCACCUCCCAAUGUGACACUUUGGGUUAUGACAUGACUCGGUCGUGAGAGCUUUCAAGCAAUACAUCCUCCAGAUCCAGUCAAGUUGUUCAUUAACCCAUCCAUCCACCACAAGGUGCCCCAGCUGAGGAGCUGGUGGGUUCCUGGAAGCCUUUCUGGGGAAGCAUGUUACUCAUAUCAAGAGAAUGACUGACGCAGCGGGAAGUUUUUAGCACCAACCAACAACUCAAAGACACAAAGGCCAGAAUCAUCUUCGAUCAGGUAUAAUAAUUCCUGGAACAGUCAUUCACUCUUUCUUUAUAUUUUCCCUGUCAUUUCAGCCAGCAGUUUGAAAGCAAAGCUUGGGAGUUAGAGUUGCUUGCUUUGAAAAUACUUCAGUUUUGUCCUAAAUCUCUAGACGAUGAAAAAGAAACUAGGGUGAUACAGGGAUGGUUGGUGUGGUGUUCACACAUAUUGUAAGAAAGCAUUUAUUUCCUGUGUUAAGAUUAAGUUUAAUUUCAAGCAAUGAGGUCCUACUAUUUAGCACAGGGAACUAUAUCCAGUCUCUUGGGAUAGAACAUAAUGGACGAUAAUAUGAAUGAAUGUAUAUAUGCGUAUGACUGGGUCACUUUGCUGUACAGCAGAAAUUGGCACAACAUUGUAAAUUAUUUUAAUAAUUUUAGAAAAAGACAUUUAAAGAACCUUUCUUUUUGUGUUUUUGUUUGUCUUGCUUUUUGUUUACCUAGAGAAAUUGGAUAUUGGUUAUACCUGUCCAGUAGCUCUUAGCAGCUUGAGUGACAUCACACCUGCAUGCAUUGUGCCCUUAAGAGAAAGGUUAUGCCACAUAGAUACCUAUGCCUGGUUCCAGCCAAGGACAACCGUUCUGAAAGGGAGACAACAUAGGUAAACGAACUUAAUGGGCAUUUGUUGGUAGGCUUAGUCCGUGGUUCAGAUUGGCCUCUGAGCAGGCAGCACAACCCUCCCCUAAAUGCAGGACUCUUGGCUUAGAGAUUUCUGCCUGAUCACCAAGGCUGAUCCUCGCAGAGGAAAUUAGCCAGACCACCAUGCCUGGCCUUCCAGGCUGAGUGAUAACCAGUGCUAUCCUUAAGGAGGGCUUAUUGUGUGCUUGACACUGUGUUAGUGCUUUCCACACAGCAUCCCUUUCAGUCCCUCCAGCAACCCUUCAGAGAGGCACCGUCAGCCCUGCUUCCCAGACAGAGCUCACCAGGAUGAAAUGCUCAGCCAAGUUCAUACAACCAAUCUGCAAAGUGCAGAGCUGGCCCUCAGCCCAUGUGCUCCCUGUGUGACUUAGGACAACAGAGCUGUCCCCUAAUUUCUCCUUUUUCCUCCUUCAUGAUCUUCAGCCCUAGAAAAAUGUGUUGCUCUAGUGCUUCACCCUGUGCAUAUAAACAUCUACCUCUAUGGUUUUGAACAAAACACAGGGCUCAUCUGUGAGGUGAGGGAUUGUAGUUGGUCUUAUUUUCUUGAAUCCAAAAGUCAAUUCUGUCUGAUGUAUUCCUUGCAUUUGCAACAUCCUCCAAAUUUGAGUAGAAUGUUUUUUGGUCUAAGAUACUGUUUUUGGCUUGUGCUUCCCCCCAAGUUUGCCUCAAAUUGGAAAUUAAUUGGGACAAAGCCAUUUUUUUUUCUUUAAAUUUGUUCGAUUCUAUUUAGGCAAAAGGAAAAUAGGCACCUCCUCUCCCUUCAGGCUUCCCAUGUUUAAAUAUCAGACUCCAAUUUUGGAGAUGAGGGAAGAAAUUUGAAAGGUUGCCGAUUAGGAAGCAAUAACCCCUCCUUCAAUCCCCAUGUGCGCUUAAGUUCUGUCUGGUCCUUUUCAACAGGCCAUCUUGGACAUCCUGGUCAGGUCUGCCAGCAUCAUCCUGAAAUCUCUCAUGACUUCUGGCCCAUGGACACACCAGGCACGGCUUCCUUUUCAAGCUCCUCAUGCUCUCUAAGAGUUAGUUUGGGGGCCAUAACUUAGAAAGUGUUUCUUCUUAAAUAAAUCAUUGCCUCUCAGCUUUUGACCCUGUACCCAUUUAUCAUAACCAGUUCCUUUCCUCAGCUUCUUCCACUGAGUUCCCACACCAACAAAUUCUCUUGUGAGUGGGUUUUCUAGUUUAAAGGUGGCUUUGAUUUUGAAGUUUUUUUAAAGACCUCCAUCCCUCCUUCUUUUCCCCACAAAAUUAAUGCCAUGGUAGGGGUGAGAGGCAUGGUGAGUUGUGUGGGGAAAUCAGUUUAGCAUCAAACGUGACUGGUGAAAUGAUUGUAUCAAGAGGCACAACUGGACCCUCUGAGAAACAAGCCAGUGUAAUAAUGAAGUGUGUUAUUUUAUGGGAUUCUGAUUCACUGGAUGUUUGAAUAAGGCUUCAACCUUCAGUCUUCCCUGAAGUACCAAGUGGGCUGAGAAUCCACUCUCAUGACCUGUACCUGAAUCUCAUGUUCAAUCUAUUUUUAAAACCCCUACCCCCAGGGAAGCAAAUACGAAAACUUUCCCCUCAUUUUCCAAAUGCAAUUGGGUGAUUAAUUUUGACUUAAUGAAGAAAAUAGUUGGUGGGAAUGAGCCAGGCUCGGAAACACCACGGAAGAAGGAGUUGCGGGUUCUGGAGGGAAAAAAAGGUGGCAGAGAAUCAACUAUAUGCAACUAAGCACUUUUCACAUUUAGCAUGAAACAGUUUGAUACCAUUUUUUAAAAGAAGGGAAGAAAUAUUUUAGAUAUUCUAAGCAUAAUGCUUAAACCACAAAUUCUGUAAAAAAUGAACAGCCUAAGCUAUUAGCAGCUGUACGCGUCAUAAACACCUUAGGCGAGACAAUCAGACACUAAUGCCAAGAGCACCUCCGAGCCAUCAGUCUGCACAGCGCCCGGCUUCUGCAAUUUCAUAAGAUAAAUGCCUCUGCUGUUUUAAGAUGAUGAAACUACAGCUGAGACGAAUCUCCGUAUUUUUCACCAGUGAUUUAAUAAAGGCCAGCUUGGAAUAAAUAGGGAACGGCUACUCUGAAAAGCUUUUUUAGCUUUGUGCUGAAAUGUGUUGGAAAUUUCUUCCAUAAAUUGAUUGUAUCCAAAGUUCUGAUUUGUCCAUGCAUGGAAGAAAGAUGUUUACUAAGUCGUGGACUUCAAACAUUCCAUGUAACGCACUGUGGCCUAACAGGAAAUUUAGGGCAAGAUGCAUCCUUGGGCAAACUCUGGGGGAGGGGUGCAUCAGAAAGUUGACUCUACUUCUUUUGGCCUGAAACAGCUACCAAAACAGACAGAGAAGAAAAGGAAUCUGCAUCCUGGAUUUUGCUGACCCUAAUCUAAGGCUUCUCAUAAAAAGUGCUAUGUCCGUGUGAUGUCACACUUGUCAUUGGGGUUAUUUUUGAGUUUUAAGAUGUGUUAAGCACACAUCCAAUUGCUAAGUAGGAGACAGUCAGAUGGAUAGAGAGAGAGACAGUCAGAGGGGUGGCGAGCUAGAUAAACACACUUCAAUCUAUUACAGGCAAUUACUUCCCAAAGUAUUUAAAAUCCUAGGGGACAAGGCUGACUAUAAUUUUAGAGGAUCUAUUUAAAUCUUAUAUUCAUGAGUAUGAAAAGUUUUUUUUCCUUCCCAUUUUUGAUGAGUGACAGAGGAGAGAAAGUGAGCAGGAGGGAAAGUGAGGAAGAACUGAUGCAUUACUGCUUCUUUGGGGCUCAAGCAGCUGGCUCUUUUAGUGUGUCCACUAACCCCACAUAGGGUUACCAGUAGGCUGUGUGUGACUGUCGUUGGUUUUACCUGCCCACUUUUGAGGCUGACAAGAGGCUGUCAGGGAAAAGCUGAGGUCCGUUUGCAGGUUUUGGUGGGCGGCCCAGCACGGUUGACUCCAUUGAGGAGGGCCCCGCCUUCCACCACCGCAGCCUGGUGGCUGUGCCUGUCCAGCCAGCCCCCUGCACGGGCCCUGCUGACUUUAAUUACACCCUCUCAGUUGAAUUCACAGGUGGCUUCCUAGGAGGAGGCGGACACCUCUCCCCAGACCCCCAGCUGCUCAUUUCCUCAGUGGAUUAGCAGGACCACGAUGAAACAGAAGCUUGUGCCUUCCCCAUUCUUUACACAACCUGGUGUUAGAGGUUGACCUUUCACCCCUGGAGAUUCGGAGGAUUAAGGCCGCUUUUAAGUCCCGCUCUGGUUACUAAUCCACCACUUUCACUUGCUGUAAUGUAAGCACUUCCUGACUUACCCUUUAAAUCCUGUAAACAUAAUAAAACAGAGUUUAACCUU